rfam:Apaloderma vittatum contig2248, whole genome shotgun sequence.
GGCUGGUUAGUUCAAGUGGUUAGAGCGUGGUGCUGAUAACACCAAGGUUGCGGGUUCAAUCCCCAUUUGGUCCC